UCAUAGGUGGUCCAGUGGCUGGGACUCUGCACUCCCAAUGCAGGGGGCCCAGGUUCCAUUCUUGGUCAGGGAA
rnacentral:tRNA from 1 species